AUUGAACGCUGGCGGCAGGCCUAACACAUGCAAGUCGAGCGGGGUUUGCGGACCUAGCGGCGGACGGGUGAGUAAUGCGUAGGAAGCUGCCCGAUAGAGGGGGAUACCAGUUGGAAACGACUGUUAAUACCGCAUAAUGUCUACGGACCAAAGUGUGGGACCUUCGGGCCACAUGCUAUCGGAUGCGCCUACGUGGGAUUAGCUAGUUGGUGAGGUAAUGGCUCACCAAGGCGACGAUCUAUAGCUGGUUUGAGAGGAUGAUCAGCCACACUGGAACUGAGACACGGUCCAGACUCCUACGGGAGGCAGCAGUGGGGAAUAUUGGACAAUGGGCGCAAGCCUGAUCCAGCCAUGCCGCGUGUGUGAAGAAGGCCUUCGGGUUGUAAAGCACUUUCAGCGAGGAGGAAGGGGUGUGUGUUAAUAGUACACACCUUUGACGUUACUCGCAGAAGAAGCACCGGCUAACUCUGUGCCAGCAGCCGCCGUAAAAC
rnacentral:rRNA from 1 species